AGUGAACGCUGGCGGUAGGCCUAACACAUGCAAGUCGAACGGCAGCACAGUAAGAGCUUGCUCUUACGGGUGGCGAGUGGCGGACGGGUGAGGAAUACAUCGGAAUCUACUUUUUCGUGGGGGAUAACGUAGGGAAACUUACGCUAAUACCGCAUACGACCUACGGGUGAAAGUAGGGGAUCUUCGGACCUUGCGCGAUUGAAUGAGCCGAUGUCGGAUUAGCUAGUUGGCGGGGUAAAGGCCCACCAAGGCGACGAUCCGUAGCUGGUCUGAGAGGAUGAUCAGCCACACUGGAACUGAGACACGGUCCAGACUCCUACGGGAGGCAGCAGUGGGGAAUAUUGGACAAUGGGCGCAAGCCUGAUCCAGCCAGACCGCGUGGGUGAAGAAGGCCUUCGGGUUGUAAAGCCCUUUUGUUGGGAAAGAAAAGCAGCAGGUUAAUACCCCGCUGUUCUGACGGUACCCAAAGAAUAAGCACCGGCGAACUUCGU
rnacentral:rRNA from 1 species